rnacentral:tRNA from 1 species
AGCUCAGUUGGUAGAGCAUCUGACUUUUAAUCAGAGGGUCGACAGUUCGAGCCUGUCA